rnacentral:lncRNA from 1 species
GAAGAAAAAAACACCCUCAAGCCCUUUUGCCCCCUCGAGUCCCAUCCAUGCAUGUAAAACCCUGACAAAUCCCUAUACCAUCUGGGGCAAAAGGGCUUCAAACAAAUAAAUCAAAAGGCGAAGAAAAGAAAAGAAAACAAAGAUGCAUCAAUCUCACAUUUAGAAAAGGAGCUGCCCAAAUGCAAGAGCAACGAGAGAAGCAAGAACAGCCGGCACAAAAGUGGUGGCAUCGGAGGUAGGGCUAGGUGCUGGGGCCUCCGCUGCUGCUACAUUUUGGACGGCUGAAACAGCCAUGAGCACAACCACGAUAGCCAAAAACACUCUCAUCUUCAAUGCCUCCAUUGUGAAAAACUUUCUUGCUGGAAAAAACAGAGGCGUGGAGGGAGAAGAGAAAAUGCAAGAUUUCAGACAACGG